ACCUCCUGGGAGCAGGGGACCACCAGGUUGCCUAAGGAGGGGUGAACCGGCCCAGGUCGUAAAACUUGGUUUCCUACAUCAAGGCUAAUG
rnacentral:miRNA from 14 species